CAUGUUAUUUCAACAAAUUCAGGCUAAUUUUAUAGAAAUAUGUUUUUUAAAAUUAGCACAAGAUCAUGAUGUCAAGAAUAAAAUUGCAGAAUAUUGGUGUCACCAUUAAGUCAUACAAAAUAUUUUUACUUUGUCGAGACAAAUAUAAGAGGCACACUUGUUAUUAGGUAAGCAUUGCCGUGGAGUAAAAAAAAAUUCUAAUCAAAUAAUUAAAUCUGACAUUAAAAAUAAUAAUAAUAGUAAUUAUGUUUCGCCAAAUAAAAAUACAAAAAGCAAAUAUCUGAGAUAUUCACACUAAAUUUCUUCAUAAAUCAAAUCUGCCUCAUUAGUAGCCGCAAUCGUUGAAUUGAUGGAACUACUGAAAUGGGAAAUGUUAAACUGGAAAAUGUGUGACCACCACAGAGCGUUACUACGGUGAUCGCUAAGCACAAUUAAUAUUUAAAUUUUUAUGUGUUCUUAAUUUAACGAAUAUUCAAAGAAAAAAGAAAAUAUUUUAAAGCAAAUAAUCUUAUAUAAAAACGUUCUUCUUGAUAGAAGGUUUAAACGUAAGCUGCGUCAGUGGAAGACCCAAUAGUUAAGUUGUCUGAACUUCCGUAAUGGAAAAUUGUCUAGGUGGGUACUGUGUGUCUACCACAAAUAGUUACUACAGUGAUCCCAAGCACAACCGAAUGUAAAAUUUACUUAUUUUUGCGUCCGGAUAGUCAUAAAAAGACUGAAAACUUUUGGCAAAACUGUGCUGAAGAACUGAAUGCUUCUGGAGGAUCCAAUAAAAUUCCAGAGCAAUGGAAAAAAUUGCUGGGCGAACUGGAAGCUGUCAGUAAAAAAAAAACAAGCAUCUGCAAUAAAGCGCUUUUCUGACAAAACACGCAAUCAAUUGAAAACUUUUGAGGGAAUAGAUAAAGAAGUGAUAGCAUUGAUUUCAGAGCACGCAGUGGAUGGGGUUUAAAAUGUUCCUGAAUCAGGCAUUCCGUAACAUCAAUCAGAUUUUUUGACGCUGGAGUUUCUUGAGAGUGAAGAAAUUUUAGAUAACAACUUUGCUUCUUCAACGCCUUCUUUACCACUGGUAUCCAAAAAGGCAAGGAAUGACACCUACUUGUCAGAACUCGAAAGUGUUAAGCGCCUCAUUAUUGAGCAAAAUUAAAAGCAGAACCAGACAUUUCUAGAGAUGCUUACAGUAUUGAAAAGCAUCAACAAUAAGUUGGAUGUGUCAAUUGACAACACAAAAAAAGAAUAAGUACAA